AAUGAACGCUGGCGGCGUGCCUAACACAUGCAAGUCGGAUGUGCCGCAAGGUGCAUGGCAGACGGGUGAGUAACGCGUAGGGAAUCUACCUUUUUGUGGGGAAUAACGCUCCGAAAGGAGUGGUAAUACCGCAUGAGACCGUGAGCUGAGAUGUUCACGGUGAAAGCUGGGGACCGCAGGGCCUGGGGCAAAAAGAGGAUCCUGCGUCUGAUUAGCUAGUUGGCGGGGUAAUGGCCCACCAAGGCGACGAUCAGUAGCCGGCCUGAGAGGGUGAUCGGCCACACUGGAACUGAGACACGGUCCAGACUCCUACGGGAGGCAGCAGUGGGGAAUUUUGCGCAAUGGACGAAAGUCUGACGCAGCAACGCCGCGUGGGUGAUGAAGGUCUUCGGACUGUAAAACCCUGUCGUCAGGGACGAAGGUGGCAGUGUUAAUAGCGCUGUUACUUGACGGUACCUUGAGAGGAAGCCCCGGCUAACUCUGUG
rnacentral:rRNA from 1 species